rnacentral:lncRNA from 1 species
CACAAUUAAGGCUUUGACUCAGCACAGGUGAGCCACUCGCGCGCCCUGCUGAGCUGACGGGUCUAGCUCGAGAGCGCACAGGAGGACAGGGGUUCAGUCACUGCUGGCCAAGGCCCCUAGGGUUUCUUCGCGUGUGUUUUUAUAUGCUUAGAUUUUAACUUCAAAAUUAGCUAAAAAAGAAAGGGAAAAAUGUUCUCGGAACUUCUGUGUGAAUUAUGAGCUACGCUGCUGUGGUCCUGUUUUACUAAAAAUGACGUGGCCGGAUGAUUUUGGGAGAUUAAGCGCGGGUUUUCUGACCAUUUUACUUAGCUUUACUUUUCAAGGUGCAUACUGUGGACUGGUGGUUUCUCCUGUUGGUCCUACUCUGGUGAAUGCUAUAUCUGGCAGCAAUGUGACUCUGGCUGUGUCCUUCAGUGGUGCCCCUGACCCAGCGGUUACCUGGUUCAUGAAGGAUUUUAGCCUACCUGUCGUCACAUGGGCUAUUAACUCCAAUACUCUCCCAGACAUAGAGGAGAACAGAAGAAAGGUGCUGAGGAUUGAGCCAAAUGGAUCCCUUACCUUUGUAAAUGUGCCACUUGAGUAUACCAGUAACUACACCAUUGAAAUGACUAAAUCUGGACUGGGAAGAUCCUCGACUACUUUCUCUCUGGAAGUAUUUAGUAGUCCAGUGAAGUUCCUGCCAGCUGUGGGAACCAGAGUUGACUCUGAAGGCAAAAUAGUGGUCGCUAUCCAAUGUGUCAGUGAGGCCUGGCCUAAGGCUGUGGUGUCAUGGUCCAAAGGCAGCGAGGCUCUCACCAACAGGACACCGUACCAGAUCAGCAGUGACACCACACAGCUCGAGAUUCUGGGUUACAAUGUCAGCAAAUUUCUCCUCCAAAACUACUUUUGUAACUGCAGCAACCCACUGGGCAGCCAGAGGAGGGAAAUUCUGUUAACAGGACCGUCAAUCUCAAAUUCCAGUUUGUUCUCUAAUCACAAUAGAACCAUCGUCACAUUGACCUGGGAGGUCCCGCCUACCUCUGUCGUUACAGGGUUUGACAUCCAAAUGAAAGGACCAGACCUCCUGGGAAAAAAUCACACCCAAACUAGCUUAAACCAAUUCUACACCAUCCAGCAUGAACCUGGCACUACCAGGAGUGCAGACAUCUUUAUCCUCGAUCCUAACUUGACGUACACGUUUCGGAUUAUCCCCAAAGCUCUUAUGACAGAAGGAGACCCAUCUGCGGCCCACAGAAUUGGUCCAGGUGAAGGGCUGAGUAGAUCUGCCAUCGCUGGCAUUGCAGCUGGAAUCCCCUGCAGUAUUCUCUUCCUAGUCCUGCUGGGCGGCUUCAUCUACUUCUGUGUCUACUGGAACAAGAACAAAAAAAAGUGGAGGGGAUAA